ACAGCGCCAGCGCCCGGCUUGGCCGGGACGACGAGGUGAGGGGAGUAUCGAACUUUCGGCGGAUGCCCCUCCGCGCCCCUUCGGGCGUGUCACUCAGACCGUAAAAUAUGCGGGCGACCGCAAAACAAAGCGGCUGAGA
rnacentral:ncRNA from 1 species